UACGUAGGGGGCUAGCGUUGUCCGGAAUCAUUGGGCGUAAAGAGCGCGUAGGCGGUCCGAUAAGUCGGCUGUGAAAGUCAGGGGCUCAACCCCUGAAUGCCGGCCGAUACUGUCGGGCUAGAGUCCGGAAGAGGCGAGUGGAAUUCCCGGUGUAGCGGUGAAAGUGCGCAGAUAUCGGGAGGAACACCAAUGGCGAAGGCAGCUCGCUGGGACGGUACUGACGCUGAGGCGGCGAAAGCGUGGGGAGCAAACAGGG
rnacentral:rRNA from 1 species